GUGAGGAAUAUUGGGCAAUGGGCGAAAGCCUGACCCAGCCACGCCGCGUGAGUGAUGAAGGCCUUCGGGUUGUAAAGCUCUGUGGGGAGGGAAGAAAAAGCGGGAGAGUAACUGCUCUCGUGUUGACGGUACCUCCUUAGCAAGCACCGGCUAACUCUGUGCCAGCAGCCGCGGUAAUACAGAGGGUGCACACGUUGCUCGGAAUUACUGGGCGUAAAGCGCGUGUAGGCUGACAUGCAAGUCGGGUGUGAAAUCCCAGGGCUCAACCUUGGAACUGCACUCGAAACUGCACGUCUUGAGUACUGGAGAGGGAAGCGGAAUUCCGGGUGUAGAGGUGAAAUUCGUAGAUAUCCGGAGGAACACCAGUGGCGAAGGCGGCUUCCUGGACAGUAACUGACGCUGAGACGCGAAAGCGUGGGGAGCAAACAGGAUUAGAUACCCCAGUAGUCC
rnacentral:rRNA from 1 species